ACCUGUUCUUCAUAUAUUCUUGUCCUGAGAAAAGAAACCUAGUUUUUAAGAGUAGAAAAAUCGUGUGGAAGAAGAAGAAAUCUAGAAAUGCUGGACUCGAGAUUCUUUCAAAAGCUGAGUUUUUGAAUCCUGGGGGCAGCGUCAAAAUCAUUCAAGAGACUUUUGAUUCUGGAGAGCAAGUGCCAUGUGGUAAUUCCUGAUGGUGAUGCUACUGAGAAGGCUCAAAUACUGGAAGCUCUUGGUGCUGCUACUGUUGAAAGAGUGAGGCGUGUAUCAAUUACACAUAAAGAUUACUACGAUCAAUAUUGCAAGGAGAAGAGCUGAGUAAGCAAAAAGAUUUGAUCAAUAUAGCCAACUUGAUGCUGAAGACUCAGAAAAAACCGUUAGUCACAUAUUACAAGAUGAUCAGAAUCCAAUUUCUAUUUUCUCUAAUGAUUGUAAAGGGGGUUUCUUUGCUGAUAAAUUUGAGAACCUUGCCAACUUCUGGGAACAAACAAGUGGCGAAUUGGAUGCCUUUGUAGCAGCUGCAGGUACUGGUGGCACAGUUUCUUCAGGAAUAGAAUCUUAAGAGCUUUCUUGUUAAUUCUCCUGGUUCUGGACUGUUUAAUAAAUUGACAAGGGGAGUAAUGUAUACCCAUGAGGAGGCAGAGGGCCGAAGAUUAAAGAACCCAUUUGACACCAUAACCAACCGUCUGAUGAAGAAAUUUAUGAUGGCAAAACUUGAUGGAGCAUUCCGGUGUACAGAUAUGGAAGCAAUUGAAAUGUCUAGGAGUUGUUACGGAGAGCUCUGCUGAUAUCACUGCUAUGAGUCUUGCAACUGUGGCUCCUGCUUAUGGCUGCAAAUGCCAUGUGGUAAUUCCAGAUGAUGAUGCUACUGAGAAGGCUUUUGAUUCUGGAGAGCUUGUGCGAGGUAUUCUAUUAGUCUUGCAACUGUGGCUCCUGCUUAUGGGUGCAAAUGCCAUGUGGUAAUUCCAGAUGAUGAUGCUACUGAGAAGGCUCAAAUACUGGAAGCUCUAGGUGCUGCUACUGUUGACAUAGUGAGGCGUGUAUCAAUUACACAUAAAGACAACUACGAUCAAUAUUGAAAGGAGAAGAGCUGAGUAAGCGAAAAGAUUGGCAUCGAAGUAGGAAAAAGUUAAUCAACUUGAUACUGAAGACUCAGAGAAAACCGAUGGUCACAUAUUACAAGAUGAUCAGAAUCCAAUUUCCGUUUUCUCUAAUGAUUGUAAAGGGGGUUUCUUUGCUGAUCAAUUUGAGAACCUUGCCAACUUUCGAGCUCACUAUGAAGGAACUGGGCCAGAGAUCUGGGACAAACAAGUGGCGGAUUGGAUGCCUUUGUAGCAGCUGCAGGUACUGGUGGCACAGUUUCUUCAGGCUUUUGAUUCUGGAGAGCUUGUGCGAGGUAUUCUAUUAGUCUUGCAACGUGGCUCCUGCUUAUGGGUGCAAAUGCCAUGUGCUAAUUCCAGAUGAUGAUGCUACUGAGAAGCCGCAAUGCAAAGAUCUAAAACUGCUCUUAUGCUGCAAUCAAGCUAAAUACUAAAGAGGGAUAUUGGAACAAUAAAUUGAACAAGAACAUGAAGUUGUAAUUUUAUAAUGCCUUUCAUGAACUUUUCCAGUUGGGGGGAGUUGGGGGACUGCCUUGGACUUCCUUCGAGAUUCAUGUUUCCACUAGUAAGUAGUGUAUGAUUUUCAUAGAUACCCGAGCAUGAAUGAGGAUAAGUAGAAAUACGAACAUUCUCCGUUUAUCCAGAACAGUAAACUUUUGCUCAAAUGUCAAUGUACAGAAAUAUGCAACAUGUGCCUAAGAAAUAUAGUUUUCUUCUUUCAAUUUUCAAAGCUUCAGUAACAGGUUUAUCUCUUACAGUAUAAUGGAAGCUCAAAUACUGAAAGCUCUUGGUGCUAGUGUUGACAGAGUGAGGCCCGUAUCACACAAAGACCACAGACCACUGCGUCAAUAUUGCAAAGAUAAGAGCAGAGGAAGCCAAAGAAUCGGCAUCAGAACAGCAAAAAGUUGAUCAACUUGAUGCUGGAGACUCGGAGAAGACCAAUGGUCUCAUAUUACAAAACGAUCAGAAUCCAAUUUUUGUUUUCUCUAAUGAUUGUAAAAGGGGCUUCUUUGCUGCUCAGUGUGAUCAAUUUAAGAACCUAUUAAAUGACAGUUAAGGCAUUUCGUUUUA